rnacentral:lncRNA from 1 species
UCCUCCAUUGUUGGUGGGAUUGCAAACUGGUAGAACCACUCUGGAAAUCAGUCUGGAGGUUCCUCAGAAAAAUUGGACAUAGUGCUACCUGAGGACCCAGCUAUACCACUCCUGGGCAUAUACCCAAAAGAUGCUCCAACAUAUAAAAGGACACGUGCUCCACUAUGUUCAUAGCAGCCUUAUUUAUAAUAGCCAGAAGCUGGAAAGAACCCAGAUGUCCUUCAACAGAGGAAUGGACACAGAAAAUGUGGUACAUCUACACAGUGGAAUACUACUCAGCUAUCAAAAACAAUGACUUCAUGAAACUCUUAGGCAAAUGGAUGGAACUGGAAACUAUCAUCCUGAGUGAGGUAACCUAGUCACAAAAGAACACACAUGGUAUGCACUCACUGGUAAGUAGAUAUUAGCUUAAAAGCUUGGAAUACCCAAGAUAUAAUUCACAGACCACUUGAAGUUCAAGAAAGAAGACCAAAAUGUGGAUGUUUCGGUCCUUCUUAGAAGGGGGAGCAAAAUACUUACAGGAGGAAAUAUGGAGACAAAAUGUGAAGCAGAGACUGAAGCAAAGGCCAUCCAGAGA